rnacentral:ncRNA from 3 species
UUAUGACUGAACGCCUCUAAGUCA